CGUCUCUCCUCUCUGUCUCCAGCUCACUCUCUGUGUCUCUCUAUAUGUUGAUCCGCCCUCUCCCUCUCUCUAUAUUCUCUCUCUCAAUCGGUGCCCACUCUCUCUAGCUCACCGAAGUCCCUCACUACCAUUGCUCGCGUCCGUCGCGCAUCGCCAUCGCCAUCGCCCUCUGUCUAAUGGACUCCUCAUUUCUGUGGGAUCCUCACCCAACCUCACCUCAUCGCUGACCAACGUCGUACGCCACUGCUAGCGCCACUGCCACCGCCGCCGCCGCAUCCUCACAAGUUCUCUCUCACUCUCGAUCUGUCUGUCUGUCUCUCUCUGUUUCUCGCUCUCUCCCUCUCUAGCCUUUGCUCUCGGUCUCUCUCUCUCUCUCUCUAUAUAUAUAUAUAUAAUUUGGGGGCUAUGGAAGGAGAGGAUUGAGGUCAUAAAGCAAACCUGUGUUGUGAUGGAUGUAAUGUGGAUUUAUUGAUUCGCCAUCUAAUUUCACCUAUAUAAUCUCAGCCAACUGCUGGCCCUCGGUUUCUGGAACUGAAACUUACGUCAGCAUCGAGUAUGAAGCUUCAUCAACAUUUGACUCGCAGAAUGUUGUGAUUUCAGUACCUCUUCCAGCUCUUAGAGAGGCACCAAAUGUAAAGCAGAAUGAUGGUGAAUGGAGGUGAAUUCUUAAUUUAUAUUGUUAUUAAAUCUUAUGCUCAUACAGUUUUAGGUCAUUAUUGUUUGAGAGCUGAGCAAUUAUUUGAUGGAGUCUUGGAUUGUGAGUUAUAGUUGAGAUCAAUUUUAGGAGAAAUGGAUGUUGGGUCGAUUAGAACGGCAUGGUAAAAGCUAUAUCCUCCAAAAUAUAGUUGCAUUUUGUAGGAAAGACUAUUUUUAUUUAUUUAUUUGGAAGUCAUGAUUGUUUUGCAUUGAUAUGCUUUUCACAUCAUUUGUCUCUGUUUAGCAGUAUGAGAGAAGGCAAAAUGUGAAAAAUAUUUUGGGACCACUUGCUGUUUUUCUUUUUCCCGCAAAAUUUGAAAAAUGUAUUAUACAUUUUUGAUGUUUCAUCUAUACCACUUCAAAAUGGUUUUAAUAUGACCUUUCAUCUAUACCAGCUUAUCAAGAUCUUGUUAUGUAACUUCUUAAAAUUAUAGCUUGAUAUUCCCACAAUAAUUACUGCAAAAACCUCAUAUAGCUGCUUUGAUUACUCCCUUUUUUGAUUUCGCUUUCAACAGACUUUUUAGAAGGUACACAGUUUAAUGAUUUGCUCACCAAUAAAUGGGUUUUGUUCCACUUCUCUUGUUCAAUGGAGUUGGGUUUACAAUACCUGUAUGUUUUCUCACUGGUAUGAUUCCAGAAACUCCAUUUUACAGUGGACCAUACUUCUCAUUGAUAACUAAAACCACAGUGGAUCUAUGGAGUUUGUUGUCCCUCCAGUAGAUGCAUCAGUCUUUUUCCCGAUUUCUGUGCGUUUUACUGCUGCAAUCACACUCAGUGAACUAAAGGGUAUGUACGUGCUCAAUAAUGUGGCAUCUGGGAAUGAAUUCCACAAAGAAGCAGUCAUGGACCAACUUUUCCCACAAAUAGGUGACAACAUCCAAUCAAUUAUGAUCAAGCUUUUGCAGAGUAAUGACAGCAGGUUACACACAGCUUGUGUCUGGACUGUCGUAAAUCUCACCUUUCCAAGUAGUCCCGGUGCACACAGUCGGGUUGUAAAAUUACAGAAUGCCUGCAUAACUUCUCAAUUAAAGGAUAUGGUCAAUGAUCCUUGCCUCGAUGUAAAAGUGGUGAUUUUUACUUAUCUUAUUUCAAACGGUUUUUUACUUCUUCAACUCAUUAGCUGAAAUUAUAUGAUUCUUUCCAAUUAAUGUAUAUACGGUCAUUUGGUUAGAUAGUAUAAUUGUGAAACUACGAAAAUGAGCUUCAUAAAGAAUUAUACUAGACUGUUAUUAGAAGGUCCUUUAUCUCAACUGUCCUCAUGUCCCAUACAUAUCAUCUCUCUAUAAUACAAUAGGUCUUAUAGAUCGAAACAGGAUUUUUUAUAUUUUUUGAAAAGAAAGAUUAGAUUAAAAACAUUCAUUUCUCUUCAUUCACCUAGUAAGAUUAGAUUUCUCUGACAUGUUAUGUGAUGAAAAUUGAUUGUUAUAUUGCAUAAUUUGGUGUGUGUCUAAUCUUAAGCAGGUCGGACACUGUUUGAGGUAAGUCUGGCUUUGCUGAAAGUGCAGGCUGGUUGCUGGUGUGUUGAAAGGGUCUGAGAGCUGCUGGUGCUUUGUUUACUGGUUGUGUUGAGUGUACUUAUGCUCUCCUUUUGUUUGUUGGUAGUUGUUGUUUGUAGAUUUUUCUGGUUUUGGUUGUGCUGUUUGGUUGGUGACUCUCCAACCUUGGCCGUGUGCUAGCAAAUGAUUGGGCUCGUAUGGUGGUGCCAACCUAGUCGGGAUUGCUAUAUCGAGCUGUGAUGCCUUGAUAAAGAUUCUUUUGAGUUGUUACAAUCUUCAUCAGUUGUUAUAAUCAAUGAAGAUUCUUUUGCUGAUCCAAAAAAGAAGAAAAAGAAAUCAUUUAUUUUUGUGACUCUUUGGAGGUGGAAUGCCCUGCUUUGAUCUCAAUACUCGCAACACUUGCUCACUAGAUCUGUUUGUGUAUCUACAUGUGUAUUGAUGUAUUUGGGCUUCUUUCUCUUUGGUUCUCUCUGUUGGUAAUUUAGUUGACUGACAAAUGUUUUCCAGGUCAAUCUGAGAACCCUGAAGUAAAUGCAGAAAGGUCAAAUGCUCAGCUUGACACAAGAGUUGGUAUGGGGAAAUUAGAUGAUGAACAUGAGGUGGUUUUUGGUCUUUCUUUCCUAUAGCAGGAAACUAUUCCUUCGUUGGAAACAAAUUCAAAUGAGAGUCAUAUUGAUCAUCUUGGAAGUGGUGGAGAAUGCUCAAGCCCUUUAGAUGGACCAAUCAAAAGUGGAUCAUCAAUUUUUGCUAUCUGUACUAGUUCAAAGCCUGAUUUUUCAAAGUUAAAGGGUGAAAUAUGCUUGGACAACCUAUCAGUUAGGGAACUUCAUGAAACCUUUAAAGUAACAUUUGGACGGGAAACUUCUGUCAAGGACAAACAGUAGCUGAGGAAGAGGAUUGCCAUGGGAUUGGCCAACUCUUGUGAUGUUCCAACUACAACUUUUGUGAUUAAAGAUAACAAAGUGGUGAAGAAAGGUAAAGAAGAAAGCUUUAAGAGUGUAGAUCAUACCCCUGCUAAGGUUCUGUCAGUUGGAGUGAAUGAAAACUGUGGAGGUUCACCAAUUGGAUGCAAUAACCAAAUGGAAAAUCCUCAAAAUGUUUGUGGCAAGAUAUUGACAGAUCCUAGUUUAGAAUAUGAUUGUAGUGUUGAAGAUUUGAACACUGGACAGAGAGCAGCAAAAAGAGUUCGGAAUGGAAGAAGCAAGCGAAUGUGCGAAGCCA